rnacentral:rRNA from 1 species
GAUGAACGCUGGCGGCGUGCCUAACACAUGCAAGUCGAGCGGCAGCGCGGGGUGCUUGCACCCUGUCGGCGAGCGGCGGACGGCUGAGUAACGCGUGGGGACGUGCCCCAAAGUGAGGAAUAACUGCCCGAAAGGGUAGCUAAUACCGCAUAUUAUCUUCGGAUCAAAGGAUUUAUCCGCUUUGGGAGCGGCUCGCGUCGGAUUAGGUAGUUGGUGAGGUAAUGGCUCACCAAGCCGACGAUCUGUAGCUGGUCUGAGAGGAUGACCAGCCAGACUGGAACUGAGACACGGUCCAGACUCCUACGGGAGGCAGCAGUGAGGAAUCUUCCACAAUGGGCGAAAGCCUGAUGGAGCAACGCCGCGUGCAGGACGAAGGCCUUCGGGUUGUAAACUGCUUUUAUAAGUGAGGAAUAUGACGGUAACUUAUGAAUAAGGAUCGGCUAACUACGUG